AGCACUGUAGGUGUCAGCCGCCGCGGUAAUACGUAGGUGGCAAGCGUUAUCCGGAUUUAUUGGGCGUAAAGCGAGCGCAGGCGGUUACUUAAGUCUGAUGUGAAAGCCUUCGGCUUAACCGAAGAAGUGCAUCGGAAACUGGGUGACUUGAGUGCAGAAGAGGACAGUGGAACUCCAUGUGUAGCGGUGGAAUGCGUAGAUAUAUGGAAGAACACCAGUGGCGAAGGCGGCUGUCUGGUCUGCAACUGACGCUGAGGCUCGAAAGCAUGGGUAGCGAACAGGAUUAGAUACCCUGGUAGUCCACACCGUAAACGAUGGAUAC
rnacentral:rRNA from 1 species